rnacentral:rRNA from 1 species
UGGGGAAUAUUGGACAAUGGGCGAAAGCCUGAUCCAGCCAUGCCGCGUGUGUGAAGAAGGUCUUCGGAUUGUAAAGCACUUUAAGUUGGGAGGAAGGGCAGUAAGCGAAUACCUUGCUGUUUUGACGUUACCGACAGAAUAAGCACCGGCUAACUCUGUGCCAGCAGCCGCGGUAAUACAGAGGGUGCAAGCGUUAAUCGGAAUUACUGGGCGUAAAGCGCGCGUAGGUGGUUCGUUAAGUUGAAUGUGAAAGCCCCGGGCUCAACCUGGGAAAUGCAUCUAAAACAGGCGAGCUAGAGUAGGGCAGAGGGUGGUGGAAUUUCCUGUGUAGCGGUGAAAUGCGUAGAUAUAGGAAGGAACACCAGUGGCGAAGGCGACCACCUGGGCUCAUACUGGCACUGAGGUGCGAAAGAGUGGGGAGCAAACAGG